UGGGGGAAAAGUGCUGGGAUUGAUUAGUGAUGUCUGCUGGGGAACUGGGGCUCAGGGAUGAUAACUGUGCUGAGAAGCCCCCU
ensembl:miRNA